GACGAACGCUGGCGGCGUGCCUAAUACAUGCAAGUAGAACGCACAGUAUAUACCGUAGCUUGCUACACCAUAGACUGUGAGUUGCGAACGGGUGAGUAACGCGUAGGUAACCUGCCUGGUAGCGGGGGAUAACUAUUGGAAACGAUAGCUAAUACCGCAUAAUAUUAAUUAUUGCAUGAUAAUUGAUUGAAAGAUGCAACUGCAUCACUACCAGAUGGACCUGCGUUGUAUUAGCUAGUAGGUGAGGUAACGGCUCACCUAGGCGACGAUACAUAGCCGACCUGAGAGGGUGAUCGGCCACACCGGGACUGAGACACGGCCCAGACUCCUACGGGAGGCAGCAGUAGGGAAUCUUCGGCAAUGGACGAAAGUCUGACCGAGCAACGCCGCGUGAGUGAAGAAGGUUUUCGGAUCGUAAAGCUCUGUUGUAAGAGAAGAACGGGUGUGAGAGUGGAAAGUUCACACUGUGACGGUAUCUUACCAGAAAGGGACGGCUAACUACGUGCCAGCAGCCGCGGUAAUACGUAGGUCCCGAGCGUUGUCCGGAUUUAUUGGGCGUAAAGCGAGCGCAGGCGGUUAGAUAAGUCUGAAGUUAAAGGCUGUGGCUUAACCAUAGUACGCUUUGGAAACUGUUUAACUUGAGUGCAGAAGGGGAGAGUGGAAUUCCAUGUGUAGCGGUGAAAUGCGUAGAUAUAUGGAGGAACACCGGUGGCGAAAGCGGCUCUCUGGUCUGUAACUGACGCUGAGGCUCGAAAGCGUGGGGAGCGAACAGG
rnacentral:rRNA from 1 species